rnacentral:tRNA from 1 species
GCACUGGUGGCUGUGUGGUAGAGCUUCUGCCUACCAUGUAGGACAUCUGAGUUUAAGUCCCAACUGGUGUG